UUCCCGUAAGAUCACCGAAGUUAAGCAACCUCGAGCCUGGUCAGUACCUAGAUGGUUCACCGUUUGGGAAUACCAGUGCAG